rnacentral:lncRNA from 1 species
UGAUUUCCAGUGGGGGUUAACUAAGCAGAGUGUAAUUACCCCAACCAGAGCUUAGACCUUGGGGAUAACACAUGUUCACAGAAAAGUGCUUCAGGGUCUGAAGCAACCAAAGGCAGCCAAGACCUGUGCACAGCGUUGUUCUUUAUGGGUUUGCAAUCCAGACACUAAGCCAGCCUGCUCCUGCUUAGUCUGAGUUGUGUGAGUACAUAUUGCCUCACCCACAGUACUGUAAAUUUUAUCUCUUAUCUCACUUAAGGACCUCCCUAGUCACAGUUCAUUAUAGAGGCUAGCAGCUCAGAGCAAAUCCAGAGAGCAAAGAUGUUUCCUCCUUAUCCUUUAAAGCUAGCCAUGGAUCCACUUUUAAAGUUCUGAAAACAUGGUGCUCAACAGGGACAGCCACGGAGGAAAGUUUGGCGUGGGAUCAGCUGUCUUGGUAGAAGAAAGUUCUGCACUGAUUCAACAUCUGUUGACAAGCUGUCUAUAUAAAUCGACAGAGAAACAAACUGAUACAUGCAACUGAGUGUGCCUCCAAAGUGAUUCACAAUCUGUUGAAACAAGACACCAUAACAUUAAAUAUGUCAUUCCAGUGUUAUGGUUCCUCUUCCAUCCUAAAAUACCUGAAAUAAAGAGCAGAAAUAUGGUGACA